rnacentral:rRNA from 1 species
GGGUGCAAUCGCCUGAUAAUCAAAUCAGAUAAUCUGAAGGUGAUUGGGACCAUGCAGGACGGAGGACAGUCAACGGGUGUGGCGGCGGCAAUUUUCGAUGACUGCUUUCACUAUGCAUGUGAUUUUAUCAUGACUAGAUUCGAACAUUGUAAUAAAGAGACAAAUAAAGUAGCACAUGAAUUUGCUAGAUUAACUAGAUUUUCUUCAUCUUUGGAUUGGUUUGAGGAGCCUCUUAAUGAUAUUGUAAUGAUCCUCACAAAUGAUGUACUGGUUAUUUCUAAUAAAUAA